ensembl:lncRNA
AACAGAGGCGACAGGAUUGACUUGGGAAAGAGAGAAAGGGAGAGGAAAGGUUUGGAAUUGCUUUGAAGGAAAAAGGAGGAGGAAAACGGGAGAAAGAGGGGAGAGAAAGAGGAGGUGAAAGAAGAGGAGAGGAGAAAGGCUCAAAUUGAAAGCGAGGGAAAGUGUAGUGAUCUCUGUUGAGAUCUGCAGUGGAGGGAUUCUCAGACUCAUCAGCGCGGCUGAAUGUAUCACAUAGCAGAGCAGUAUUCUGGACGAAACUCGUGGGAUUCCUUCCCCUCUUCUGGGCCGAAACGAGCACCAUGGGCCCCAGGCAGCAACCGGCACUGGGCCCCUCCAUCCAGGUGCAGUGGAGGGAACUAUCAAUCCCCAUCCCAAAACUACACAGCAGGAAGAAGUUACCCAAAUAAAGCUUAUAACAACAGACCUCCAGGUUUCAGCAGGGACAGGCCCCACACACACCCCAGAGACAGAGGCAUCGGAAAAGAGCAAAGGGUCCCGAGGGGCUGUGGACCAACACAGAGCCAGCACCAUAAUUCAAUGCGACCCACCCUAAACUACAGCUCAGGGUGUGGAGGACACCUCUCUAGCAGCAACAAUCACAGCAGCCAGUCACACAGGUUUGGGGGUCCACAUCAGCAGCAGCGUCCCACUGGGGUCAGCCAAUCCCGGGACAUUCCAAGGGCCCUCUCUCAAACGCCCAGCUCCUCCUCACAAUAUGUCACCACCACACCGGGAUCCAUCCCCUUCACGAGAUGACUGUCCC